rnacentral:rRNA from 1 species
UAAAGGGAGCGCAGACGGUGAUGCAAGUCUGAAGUGAAACCCCACGGCUCAACCGUGGGCUUGCUUUGGAAACUGAUUGACUAGAGUCUAGGAGAGGUAAGCAGGAUUCCUAGUGUAGCGGUGAAAUGCGUAGAUAUUAGGAGGAACAUCGGUGGCGAAGGCGGCUUACUGGACAGCAACUGACGUUGAGCGUCGAAGGCGUGGGGAGCAAACAGGAUUAGAUACCCUGGUAGUCCACGCGGUAAACGAUGAAUACUAGGUGUUGGGUGCCAUAGGCAUUCAGUGCCGUCGCUAAC